AUGGCAACAGUGCUCAAAAGGAAGGAAGAUAAUUAAAAUGGGAGACGGAGCCAUCAAAAACACGUGGAGCAAAGUUACUACAUGAGCCGAGACUGAAAGAAUGCUCUCCUGACACCAGUUCUUGGACUACAAAUUUGUUUGGAUUCCCAGAGAUUUUUACACUCUACUAACAUUUAUGAUUUGUGAGAGAUACCCUGUUCCCUGAGGGGCAUGCAUCAUGCACAGGAAAACCACAGGAUCUGGGAAAUGCAGGAUGACCC